CCUACGGGUGGCAGCAGUGGGGAAUAUUGGGCAAUGGGCGAAAGCCUGACCCAGCAACGCCGCGUGAAGGAAGAAGGCUUUCGGGUUGUAAACUUCUUUUGACGGGGAAGAGCAGAAGACGGUACCUGUCGAAUAAGCCACGGCUAACUACGUGCCAGCCGCCGCGGUAAGACGUAGGUGGCAAGCGUUGUCCGGAAUUACUGGGUGUAAAGGGUGUGUAGCCGGGCUGACAAGUCAGAUGUGAAAUCCGGGGGCUCAACCCCCGGACUGCAUAUGAAACUGUUGGACUUGAGUAACGGAGAGGCAUGCGGAAGUCCUGGUGUAGCAGUGAAAUGCGUAGAUAUUGGGAGGAACACUAGUGGCGAAGGCGGGUUGCUGGACAUCAACUGACGGUGAGGCGCGAAAGCCAGGGGAGCGAACGGGAUUAGAUACCCGAGUAGUC
rnacentral:rRNA from 1 species